UUGCCGCUUAACGGUAAAAUGGCCCUGGAUACUGGGUUUCUUGAGUGCAGAAGAGGCAGGUGGAAUUCGUGGUGUAGCGGUGAAAUGCUUAGAUAUCACGAAGAACAUCAGUGGCGAAGGCGGCCUGCUGGUCUGCAACUGACGCUGAGGUACGAAAGCGUGGGGAGCGAACAGGAUUAGAUACCCUGGUAGUCCACGCCGUAAACGAUGCAUACUAGGUGUUGCUU
rnacentral:rRNA from 1 species